rnacentral:rRNA from 1 species
GACAGAGGGUGCAAACGUUGUUCGGAAUUACUGGGCGUAAAGCGCGUGUAGGCUGCUUCGCAAGUCGGGUGUGAAAGCCCUGGGCUCAACCUAGGAAGUGCACUCGAAACUGCGGAGCUUGAGUCUCGGAGAGGAUCGCGGAAUUCUCGGUGUAGAGGUGAAAUUCGUAGAUAUCGAGAGGAACACCGGUGGCGAAGGCGGCGAUCUGGGUCGAUACUGACGCUGAGGUGCGAAAGCGUGGGGAGCGAACAGG